rnacentral:lncRNA from 1 species
AACUUGCAACUCAGCAUAAUGAUUCGACAAGUAUUUGUUUAAUUUUUCUUUUCAUCUUGGCAUUUGGAAGUUGUACGCAACAUUACUAGACUUCUUUUUUGUUCUCGUAAAUAUAAGUUAUAUAUGUACACUGGUUUUAACUAUUUUCAUGAUGAUCUACUAUAUGAUUCAGUAAUCAGUGUAGUACUAGUAUUUUGUGCAGUCUUGAUCCCAAGCCUCUAUACCUUUUUCAUGUAGUACUAGUAUUUUGUGCAGUCUUGAUCCCAAGCCUCUAUACCUUUUUCAUGCUUUCGUAUUCUUGAACACCAAGCAAGCACGAGCUAGACUCGGUCCCUGCCAGUAUUUCACUUCAGCCAUGCAUCUUGAGGCUUCGGCUCAUGUUUAACCCUAGCAACUCGCACCAGAAACAGAUGACAGCUCAUCUCAAGAACAUCACUCGAAGCAUAACUUUCAGUCAAACUAUAAUCAAAUGAGAUGCAACCCAGGCAAACAUAAAUCCUCUCAAGAAAGUCAGCUUAAAAGAGAAUAGGUUCAGGAUAAUCUCCCAUAUAUCUUAGGUUGGACAAAACUAGCAAGUUGCCCCAAAAACACAAAUCAACAUCCUUACAAGUAAUAGAAGAACUAAACUAAGCUCCUUCAUAGAACAUAGUAGAUUAAUUAAUGCAGCUUCAAACAACAGACAAUCUCUGGAGCUGCAAGAGAGAUGGACAGCAAGAGGACAAGGGCAGCAGAUUCACCCAAGAAUGCAUCCUAGGCAUCUAGAACCCUGGUCUACUCCACCAUUCUCUGGAGCUGCCAGAGAGAUAGACAGCAAGAGGAAAAGGGCAGAAGAUUCACCCAGGAAAGCAUCCUAGGCAUCUACAACCCUGCUCUACUUAGAUCUCUGUCUCAUCUUUCUGCGCUUCCUCUUCAGUCUCCUCAUACGCUUCUUCUUCCACUGCAUUUAAAAAAGAAAUAUUAAAGGCUGCCAUAUGGUAAGCAACCCCCACUUCCAACCGAGAGAUUGUGAGUUCGAGUCUCCCCAAGAGCAAAGGUGGAAAGUUCUUGGAGCGGAGGAUGCCGGGGCAUUAGAGGCAGCCGCAGUUACAGUGAUAAGAGAGAACAAAAAUCUUGGCAAACCCCCUUUUGGUACACUUAAUUGUUAUCUGAAGAGGCUAAAGAAAACCCAUUAUCUCAAUUUUCCUCUUAAUCUCUUUGGCUAUAUUCUCAACACAACUUCUGAAUCCAGACAUUCUCUACUCCAUUCCAGGGCCGCACACCAAAACCAGUACAUUCUUUCCCAUUUUUCCCAUAUAAAGCCUGUCAAAUACUUACCCCACCAACAGAUCCCAAAAGGCACAGCACACAUCAAAUAAGCUCUAGUUUAUGCACGGAAAAAUAGUAGUCUAUCUAAACAAAUACAUGUUCAUGACAGAUGGUCCACCACACAAAAAAGAAUUUUUUUUAUAACCAUGGUGUCAAGACAACUUACGCUCAUCAACUAAUUCCACGAGGUACUUAUUACCUCCCACUCCCACCAGGACAGGUACCAAGUACCAUUAUCCACCAAGGCUUGGACAAAUAAGAAAUCAACUAAUGAUUUUGCCUCCAUUUCAUUGACCACUAGCCCACAGACUUGGGUGCACACAUAAGGGAAUUUAGAGUGACUUACAAAAGAACAAGAAGAAAUCUGAAAACAGAAGAUAACACUCGCCGACCAUAUAUAUGCCAUGGUAAAGUUACCAAAACACAAAGUCUAUUAAAGAGCACUGAUUUGAAUAGUCAGUCUACUUUUAUUCCUCUUCCAAUUGCAAUCUACUACAUCAUCAUAUUAAAAGAUAAGUACAUCUCAUACCAUACUCAGGUAGACUAGAAAAA